AUUGAACGCUGGCGGCAUGCUUUACACAUGCAAGUCGAACGGUAACAGGCCGCAAGGUGCUGACGAGUGGCGAACGGGUGAGUAAUGCAUCGGAACGUGCCCAGUCGUGGGGGAUAACGCAGCGAAAGCUGUGCUAAUACCGCAUACGAUCUAUGGAUGAAAGCGGGGGACCGUAAGGCCUCGCGCGAUUGGAGCGGCCGAUGUCAGAUUAGGUAGUUGGUGGGGUAAAGGCUCACCAAGCCAACGAUCUGUAGCUGGUCUGAGAGGACGACCAGCCACACUGGGACUGCGACACGGCCCAGACUCCUACGGGAGGCAGCAGUGGGGAAUUUUGGACAAUGGGCGAAAGCCUGAUCCAGCAAUGCCGCGUGCAGGAAGAAGGCCUUCGGGUUGUAAACUGCUUUUGUACGGAACGAAAAGGUUUGGGUUAAUACCCUGGGCCGAUGACGGUACCGUAAGAAUAAGCACCGGCUAACUACGUGCCAGCAGCCGCCGUAA
rnacentral:rRNA from 1 species